UACGGAGGGGGGCUAGCGUUGUUCGGAAUUACUGGGCGUAAAGCGCGCGUAGGCGGCUUUGUAAGUUAGAGGUGAAAGCCCGGAGCUCAACUCCGGAAUUGCCUUUAAGACUGCAUCGCUAGAAUCAUGGAGAGGUUAGUGGAAUUCCGAGUGUAGAGGUGAAAUUCGUAGAUAUUCGGAAGAACACCAGUGGCGAAGGCGACUAACUGGACAUGUAUUGACGCUGAGGUGCGAAAGCGUGGGGGAGCAAACAGG
rnacentral:rRNA from 1 species